rnacentral:rRNA from 1 species
ACGACCGUACCGCAAACCGACACUGGUGCGCGAGAUGAGUAUUCUAAGGCGCUUGAGAGAACUCAGGAGAAGGAACUCGGCAAAUUGACACCGUAACUUCGGAAGAAGGUGUGCCUUUAGUAGGUGAACCUGUACAAGGGGAGCCCAAUGAGGUUGCAAAAAAUCGGUGGCUGCGACUGUUUAAUAAAAACACAGCACUCUGCAAACACGAAAGUGGACGUAUAGGGUGUGACGCCUGCCCGGUGCUGGAAGAUUAAAUGAUGGGGUGCAAGCUCUUGAUUGAAGUCCCAGUAAACGGCGGCCGUAACAAUAACGGUCCUAAGGUAGCGAAAUUCCUUGUCGGGUAAGUUCCGACCUGCACGAAUGGCGUAACGAUGGCCACACUGUCUCCUCCUGAGACUCAGCGAAGUUGAAAUGUUUGUGAUGAUGCAACCUCCCCGCGGAAAGACGGAAAGACCCCAUGAACCUUUACUGUAGCUUUGUAUUGGACUUUGAACAGAUCUGUGUAGGAUAGGUGGGAGGCUUUGAAGUGUGGUCGCUAGAUCGCAUGGAGCCAACGUUGAAAUACCACCCUGGUGUGUUUGAGGUUCUAACCUAGGCCCGUAAUCCGGGUCGGGGACAGUGCAUGGUAGGCAGUUUGACUGGGGCGGUCUCCUCCCAAAGCGUAACGGAGGAGUUCGAAGGUACGCUGUACGGUCGGACAUCGUGCUAAUAGUGCAAUGGCAUAAGCGUGCUUAACUGCGAGACUGACAAGUCGAGCAGAUGCGAAAGCAGGACAUAGUGAUCCGGUGGUUCUGUAUGGAAGGGCCAUCGCUCAACGGAUAAAAGGUACUCUGGGGAUAACAGGCUGAUACCGCCCAAGGGUUCAUAUCGGCGGCGGUGUUUGGCACCUCGAUGUCGGCUCAUCUCAUCCUGGGGCUGUAGCCGGUCCCAAGGGUAUGGCUGUUCGCCAUUUAAAGAGGUACGUGAGCUGGGUUUAAAACGUCGUGAGACAGUUUGGUCCCUAUCUUCCGUGGGCGCUGCAGAUUUGAGGAAGCCUGCUCCUAGUACGAGAGGACCGGAGUGGACACACCUCUGGUGUAUCGGUUGUCACGCCAGUGGCAUUGCCGAGUAGCUAUGUGUGGAAGAGAUAACCGCUGAAAGCAUCUAAGCGGGAAACUCGUUUCAAGAUGAGAUCUGCCGGGGCCUUGAGCCCCCUAAAGAGUCGUUCAAGACCAGGACGUUGAUAGGUCGGGUGUGGAAGCGCAGUAAUGCGUUAAGCCAACCGAUACUAAUUGCUCGUGCGGCUUGAUC